GCGGGCGUGGCGGAAUUGGUAGACGCGCCAGGUUUAGGUUCUGGUGGGAUUCCCGUGAAGGUUCGAGUCCUUUCGCCCGCACCA
rnacentral:tRNA from 1 species